rnacentral:rRNA from 1 species
ACAGCAGUAGCCGCGGUAAGACGGAGGAUGCAAGCGUUAUCCGGAAUGAUUGGGCGUAAAGCGUCUGUAGGUGGUUUAUUAAGUCUACUGUUAAAUAUCAGGGCUUAACCCUGAAUCGGCAGUAGAAACUCAUAAGCUUGAGUACGGUAGGGGCAGAGGGAAUUCCCGGUGUAGCGGUGAAAUGCGUAGAGAUCGGGAAGAACACCGAUGGCGAAAGCACUCUGCUGGGCCGAAACUGACACUGAGAGACGAAAGCUAGGGGAGCAAAAGGGAUUAGAUACCCGUGUAGUCCCUGUCUCUUAUAC